rnacentral:tRNA from 1 species
GGAAACUUUUUCAUCGGUAAGAUAAAUUAUUUGCUACAUAAUUGAAUUUAUAUUCAUGAAGGGUUCGAAUCCCUUAGUUUCCG